CCUACGGGAGGCAGCAGUGGGGAAUAUUGCACAAUGGGGGAAACCCUGAUGCAGCGACGCCGCGUGAGUGAAGAAGGAUUUCGGUACGGAAAGCUCUAUCAGCAGGGAAGAAAAUGACGGUACCUGACUAAGAAGCCCCGGCUAACUACGUGCCAGCAGCCGCGGUAAUACGUAGGGGGCAAGCGUUAUCCGGAGUUACUGGGGGGAAAGGGAGCGUAGACGGCAGCGCAAGUCUGGAGUGAAAUCCCAUGGCUUAACCAUGGAACUGCUUUGGAAACUGUGCAGCUAGAGUGCAGGAGAGGUAAGCGGAUUUCCUCGUGUAGCGGUGAAAUGCGUAGAUAUUAGGAGGCACCCCAGUGGCGAAGGCGGCUUACUGGACUGUAACUGACGUUGCGGCUCGAACGCGUGGGGAGCAAACAGGAUUAGAUACCCCUGUAGUC
rnacentral:rRNA from 1 species